GAGUUCUCCCUGAGACUUUAAGUCUCCUGAAGGAACGUUGAAGACGACGACGUUGAUAGGCCGGGUGUGUAAGCGCAGCGAUGCGUUGAGCUAACCGGUACUAAUGAACCGUGAGGCUUAACCUU
rnacentral:rRNA from 3 species